GGGAGACGCCGCUCUUUACUACGGCCGAACCCCCAUAGAGAAAACCCCCGUUCCCCCUACGCGGCGUUGACCCCGAUCCACCACCCGCCCGGCUUUCAUGAGUACAGGUACGAAGGCUACGGCAUCCUGCCUUCGGGUCAGGUACAAACAGAGCAUUACUCAUGCCCGAAACAGCCGUUGCGUAACGCUUCCCUUGGCCAGGCUCCGCCAGCCGGAUCGUGGCUGUGGUUUACUGCUCUGCGGUGACUCCCCAGCCUCUUCCCAUGUUGCUGGUUCCCUGGCAGCUCAGCUUCCUAUGGUUAACAUUUUCCCAGUUGCUUUGUUACUCCCUAAGGCUGCUAUAAGGACUGCGAUCGAUACCUCUUCCCGCUUCUCCCGGGUUUUCCCCUUAAGGAGUCACCUGUCUGGUGGGUAAUGCCCGUCCUCGAGCGUAGCUUUCAUUUCCCGGGAGCUCCGUUUCCACAGCACACUGCAGCCACAGGCAGAUCUUGCAGCUCCGUGACUCAUCUCUUUCUGGAUCCUCUGCAUCCAAGAAGCAGCAUGCUGGGGGAUGAUAGUAAAUCUCCUGGUGAAAGCAGGAUUUUAUGGUUGUGCUUAUUCAUCUUUCUGCAAAGCAGAACUCUAUUAUGUAAAUGCCAACAGAAGCAGUGGCACCGAGUACUGAAGAACGUACAAACUGGUGUGCUAAUCUUCACUAAUGAACAACAGAGGUAUUCAGAAGCAGAGAUGCUCUAAGGAAGAAGCUGGAUUGUAACAGUUUCUUUCCAUACUGCUCUUUAAGAAACAAAUAAGUAAAAAUGAAAGCCUUUCCAGGAUUUUAGGAGUAGAAACCGGUGAUACUCAAAUACCCAUCGCUUCCACCCACUUGGUGUUGUAGAAACCUCUCGGCAGUUAACAGUAAACCAUUUUUCAGCUUUUUGCCUCUUUCUGGUUCGCCCAGGGCUGCACCAGUGCUUGCACUCAGGGCGCUUUUCUUACCUGGGUCACUGGCAGCCUGUACCUCCUCUGCGAAAUGGUCCAUCACAUCCUAUUGCUGUAGUUGAGAGUAAAUGCAAGCCAGCAGAGUUCACCCCUGUUUAAUCUGACUACAGAAGUAAAUGAACUUCCCCAUAGUCAGCUUGAAACACCAGGUAAAUGUGUGUGUGUCAUUUUAUUUAUCGUUAUGCUGUCCUGAUGAGUCAAAUUCUGACUUCUGCUUUAACACAGUGUGAAAACAUGAUCGCAGUUUUUCACAGCCAGACAGAAAUGUACAGUUGCAAAUCAAAAAAAGACAGUUUAGAGUAGAAUUGUGCAGGUGUGCUGGGUUGUACCUGGAUUGUACCUUUCCUUUUCAGUAAACGCAGAUGGGAAUACGUAUGUCUGAAUCCAUUUGGAUUUAAACACUAGAGCAAGUUAUGCAUUUUCAGCUUUUUUUUUUUGAGUCUUUUCCAUGCACAUUUCCCUGUACAUCCUGCUCAUCUUGGGCCUUUCAUAUGGAGCUAAAUGGUGAACAAGGAUAGAAAUUGUUGCAGAAAUUAAAUCCAGUGUUUUGUUUAACUGAUAGAAAAAUAAGUGCUAUUUAGAAGGAACUUAGGAAUCGGUGCCUUGUGCUACGCAGUUGUAAGCAAAAGUCAAGGUUUACCUUAAGAUGAUAUCUAAAUACAGCAACCUCAAAAUUAAAUCUUUGUAUCAUAGCUUAUUUAUUCUAAAAAAAAAUACGAGGUGCAAAAUAAUUAGCAAUAAUUACAGUCAUGGGUUUUGCUUGAGCACAGAGCUCCUGCGUGCAAAUCAACAUCCUGUCUUGUGGGACAAAUCUCCAAAUUUCCACUCCUUCCUGCAGUUCUCCCCCCCUUGAUGAGAGCUGUUGAAUAAUAAUUAAAUAGCUGUUAGAUAUUCCGCAAGAUCUGCUCUAGGUUUUUUGCUAUUUUUAAAAAUUUAGUAAUUUGCCUGCUGCAUCAUACCAAUCUUUCCUCUAGAUGGUGCCCGCUACCCAAGAGUUGGGUGCAAUACUAUCCCAUAUGAAAGGCUAUCGAGAAAUAGUCAGGACGCCGCUCUCCUUUGUUUCUAAAUUCUCUCUUACAAUAGUUCAUCUAAGUUGAUAGAUUAUGUGUUCUGCAUGAUGUAAAUACGGUGUUUCUUCCUCUUGAGAAUCUUAAAAUGCAUUCACUAGAGCCUAAAAUGCCACCUGCCUGGAACAGUAUCAUCUGUUACUCCGUGGACCGAUCCAUAUCUCAUAUUUCUUAUGGCAGCCAUUAACUGGUGUUAGCUGUUGAUCGGCUAGACGGUAUGUACAUCACUGCUGCAAUUGUGGGAACCGAUUAUUUGCCUAGUUUUCAAAUAAAUUAACUCUGAGUAUUGUGUAAA